rnacentral:rRNA from 1 species
GAUGAACGCUGGCGGCGUGCCUAAUACAUGCAAGUCGAGCGAACAGACGAGGAGCUUGCUCCUCUGACGUUAGCGGCGGACGGGUGAGUAACACGUGGAUAUCCUACCUAUAAGACUGGGAUAACUUCGGGAAACCGGAGCUAAUACCGGAUAAUAUAUUGAACCGCAUGGUUCAAUAGUGAAAGACGGUUUUGCUGUCACUUAUAGAUGGAUCCGCGCCGCAUUAGCUAGUUGGUAAGGUAACGGCGUACCAAGGCAACGAUGCGUAGCCGACCUGAGAGGGGGACGGGCCACAGUGGAACUGAGACACGGCCAAGACCCCGAGGGGAGGCGCGAGAAGGGAGGUGCCGGAAAGGGGGGAAAGAUUGACGGAGCAGCGCGGCGUGAGUGAUGAAGGUCUGCGGACCGUAAAACUCUUUGAUUGGGGAAGAAAAAAUGUGUAAGAAACUAUGCAUUUCUAGACGGUACCAAAUAAGAAAGCCGCGGCUAACUCGGGG